CACAGGUCAUUUCAGAGAGAGAGCGUUCCUAUUGGCUGUGCUCUGGUGGGCGGUGCUUGUUAUUCCCUUAACUGAUCUCAAUAUGGCGGCCAGGUCACAAACUUUCUCAUUUUACAGCUAAACAGUACACUGCAGGAUGUUUCUGAAAACAUUUGAGGCAAGAUAUAGGCGUUACAGUAACAGAAUAUUGAUUCAUAUUUGAUCAGCGCUGCCUAG